rnacentral:lncRNA from 1 species
AUAAUUUAGUUAUCAUUUCACUUAAGUUUAGUUUUCACAAAUGAGAACAUAGAGAAUGCUGUUGAUUUAUUUUCUGUGUAGUUAAAAUGGCUAGUCAUCGGAUGUCUCUUAGUGUUUAUUGGGAUGGACAGUUAGAUAUGGAUGGAAAUGGUUCCCGAUAUUUCGGUGGUCGAAAGAAAUUGAUCGCGAUUCAUUCAGACACAACCUAUGCGAAUUUUGAGAGGAGAAUGUAUCGUUUAGUAAAUUGUAAUAGAGAAGAAUGUUGUCUUAAAUACACAAUUCGAUACCCUACGGGAGUGAAUGAAUAUAUUGCUCAUGAUAUAGUAGAUGAUGAAUUAUUGGAGGGAUUAAUUGGAUUGUUUGAAUAUUAUGGAUGUGUGUCGCUAUACAUAAAGAAAGAUUUAUAUCCGUCAGAGACACAAUAUCCGUCGCAAGGCUAUUACACAAGUCUGCUACAUAAUAAUAUCGAUGUGGGAUUUCCGGAGAAUCCAAUUGGUGACCGUGAAGUUAGUAAUGAACCAGGCAUAAGAAUGACAAGGUCAGUAAUAUAUCUCAAGAUUGCGGUGAAUAUUUUCUUUAAUUAUGAAAUAUUUUAAUAAAUUAUAAUUAUAAAUACUGCAAACAGAGUCAGUCUCCACGUGCGCAACCCUCGACGUCACGUGCGCAACCCUCGACUUCACGUGCGCAACCCUCGACGUCACGUGUGCACGUAUCGACGUCGCGUGCGUAACCCUCGACGUCACGUGUGCACGUAUCAACGUCACGUGCGCAACCCUCGACUUUACGUGACAAACCCACGAUAUUUCAUACACCUAAUGAAAAUUACGAUUGGGGGUAAAAAAUUUUUUGAUUAUUUAAUUAAUAGUAAGUGAAAUUUUACCUAAUAUAGUAAACAUUCGGGACCUAUUACAGGCUAUCUACGUCCUAUACAAAUUGGAAUGAAGUUCUUGAUAAUACUGUCGAUGAAGGAGAUGAUAAUGACGGUAAUAAGAACGAUGCACCCAUUCAUAAUAAUGGUGAUCAGGAGGAUGCACCCAUUCAUGAUGACAACAAUUAGGAGGAUGCACCCAUUCAUGAGGACGACGAUUAAAAUGAUCUAGCUGUUGACAUUGAAGAUGAUCACGAUGGUAGAUUAAAUUGCCUUGCGAAUGCCAUUUACAGUUUGAAUGACGACCCGCAUGUAAACAACAAAUAUGUAGACAAUCCUGACGAGGAACUUGAUUUUAUUGACCAUCCGGAGCAAUUUUCUAUGGAUAACAAUUGGAUACAACAGCAUGUUGUGAAUUCGAGUGAGUUUGAUGUUAGACGUACCAAUUCCGAUCUACCUAGCAUUGACGAGACUUGGCUCCAUAAAAUCUUUAAUGAUCAGGCAUCUUUAAUGGGCGCUUUAGAUCGAUGGCACAUUACUCACAAUAUUUAGAUGAAGAUUUUGAAAUCCACCAAAACAACUUAUACAGUGAAAUGCACAGUUGAGGGAUGUCCUUGGAGGUUACACGCUUCGGUUCCUAAGGAUGCAACAUAUUUCAGAGUUAAGACAUAUGCGGGUCAACACACUUGUGUUAUUCCAAUGCUAAAUGCGGCGCACCGUAAUUGUACUUUAAAUCUCAUAUGCCAAGUAAUUCUCCCGUUAAUGAAGACAAGACUUAAUAUGACGCCAAAAGAAGUGCAAGAAAUGGUGCGAUCCACUUUGCAUGUUCAAAUAAAUUAUUGGAAGGCAUGGUUGGCAAGGAGCAAAGCAUUACAGAUUAUUUACGGGAACUGGGAGCAGUCAUACACAGACUUGCCUCGGUAUCUUACUAUGCUGCAGAGUACUAAUCAUGGAACUUUUUGGCGGCUUGAUCAUAUAUGGCCAUCAGAUGGAAUAUGUUAGUUUGGUCGUGUUUUUUGGUUAUUUGCUCCUUCUAUUCAUGGAUUCGCACAUUGUCGGCCGGUGGUGAGCAUUGAUGCGACUCACUGGUAUGGCAAAUACGAAGGCCAUGCAUUGAUAGCGAUGGCUGUCGAUGCAAAUGAUAGCAUUUUUCCCUUACUUUUGUAAUUUGCGAAGGCGAAAAUGGUGGAAGUUUGCGUUUGUUUUUACAUAACUUGCAACAUUAUGUUAUACGCAAUCGAUCGGUUUGUUUUAUAUCUGAUAGAUUUAGUGGCUUAAAGGAAAUAGUGGCUGAGUUAUAUCCUACGCGACAGAGGCAUGCACACAGGUGGUGUCUUCGACACAUGAAAGCAAAUAUGGCUAAGCGGUUUAAAAAUGAAUCGUUAUUAGACAAAUUCUAUAGUAUCGGCAGUGCUCCAACAUCGGUACAAUAUUAUAAACUAAAAGAAGAGUUACUCGCGCUAGAUCAGGAUGUUUGGAAGUGGGUUGAUGAGCUCGAAGUAUACAAAGAGUAUUGGGUGUGGGCAUUUGAUAGAGGGCGACGCUUCGGGUUGAUGACCACCAAUAUGUCCGAGAGUUUAAAUGGGGUACUUAAGGCAAUUCGUGCUCUCCCUAUAACGGCAUUUGUCGCGGAAACUUUUUACAAACUUAAUAGUUAUUUUUUAAAACAUCGUGAAAAUGGUGAAAGUAUGACGGCCACGUUAGCACCUAAAAUACAAAGUCGGAUUACGAUGAAUAUGGUGAUGGCGCGGAGACACAUUGUAUAUCGAUUUGGGCCUAUUGAGUUUGAAGUCAAAACAGGACACUCCGAUUACAAUGUUAUCCUGAAUAGACCAUAAGCGCAUUGUGAUUGCGGCGAAUUCAAGCUAACGGGCAUACCUUGCUUGCAUCUUUUAGCAGUUUGCAGUAAUUCACAAAGAAUAAUAGAUUAUCAUAGUCUUUGUUCCCAUUAGUAUACUGUAGAGUGUUAUCGCCAGACAUACGCACCGCUUUUCCAUCCAGUUCCAGACAGGCGCUACUGGCCACGACCCCUGGGCCCACCAAUUGUACCGCCUCCAGUGAGAAGGAAGAAAGGUCGACCACGAUCAACACGUAUUCGUAAUAUAAUGGACGCAACCAGUGGUCGACGAACAAAAUGCAGCAUUUGUAAGCAGGAAGGUCAUUAUAGAAAUACCUGUCCACAGAAUACAGAGAGAGCACAACAAUGACGUCGACGUAGGACUUGUUACCUAACUUACUAGUAUUUAUUAAACUUUCAAUAUUCCAAUAUUCAAUGCGCUUUUUGAUAAUAUGUUACUAAUUACAAAUUCUUUAAAAUUGCAGAUGGUAGAUCUAGAGGAGAAGGCGGGACCGGUUGAUGAGUCCAUCCUGAUAGAGCAGCAUCUACAUAGGUCUUCAUUUAUCACGAUUGAGGUCAGAGCAAGAAUUAUUUCUCUAAAAGUUAUCUUAAGUAUUAAUGCAUAUAAAUGUUGUUCUAACUAAAUUUUUGUCACUAUAGGGAUAUCGCGGGGUUCAGUUCAUAGAGCAUGGCCGCAAAUUAAACCAGUGGGAUCUUGAUCAUCCAGCCGUGCUAGAUCUGCUACGACAGUCUGGAUUCUAUUAUAUCUCUCGACUUAGGCGUCUGCAACUGGAUCAGUCUUUAUUAGAAGCUCUGGUCGAGAGAUGGAGACGGGAGACCCAGACAUUUCACUUCCGCCACGGUGAGAUGAUGAUUACACUUCAGGAUGUGGCGGUUAUUUCUGAUCUUCGUAUCGAUGGAGCGCCUGUCACGGGGACUACAGUGUAUCCGUGGCCAGAGAUGUGUCAGGCACUUUUAGGGGUUGUGCCGGAUGACAUCCGAGCUAGGCAGAUUAGAUUAGAUUGGAUAUACCAGCACUUUUUGUCACGCCCCGCCUCGAAACCACUACCGAUUUGGCACGGUUCGGCCGCGGCGACGGACCGCCGAACACCCACUUCCUUGUCACUUGUUACAGUAACUUGUAAUAAUAAGCUUGUACUUAGCUUAAGCAAUCGUACUAUCAUUUGGAAAUGAUAUACUACGUACGUAAGUAAUAUGUACUAAUACCCGUAUCAUCGUAUCUAAAGGAAAUACAGAAAUUACGAAACUCUAUAGAUAGAUAGAUAGAUGGACAACAACGAACACGGGUGAACCUGGAUCACCCCUCUAGCCGUCUCAGCCGCCGGCUCGGGUGACCCUUGAUACCUUCUAUCAAGAGUGGGGUGAGAUAAAGGUCACCAUCCAAGUCCCGACGUCUCUCUCCUGGCGCCGUUCCCGCAGCGCGGGCUGGUCACUCUGGCACCAUCAUAUCAUCGAAAGGAAAAACGUAAUCAGUGGAUACAUAACUCUCUCUAAGAACAUCCACUCCAACCUCUCGAUACAUAAAACCUACUUUUUACUACAUUACUUACAUUGAUUACAUUAUCAAUCAUUUAAUGAGAGAAAUAAAGUGAACAAAUAGAGCACCUAAUGAACGAGAAGACCAACAACCGUGACAAACACGGGAGCAACUUACACAUACAAAUCUUAAAUUUAAGGACCCAUUUAAGAACAUGUGUAAGGACAACAACUCGGAACUCGCCCGUCCCCUCCACGACAGGNCACCCAAGCCCGGGACCGUCUGCGGACCUCCAAGUGGUCCGGACCUCCAAGUGGUCCUAGUCGCGCGACACUCCGGAGUACUCGACGACAAUCCCCUCCAUGUGGGGAUCGGAUGGCUAUGCCACCCUGAACGCAGACUGUGAGCUAGAUCUAUCCUCUUCAAGUGAGGACACUCUACAACUAGAGUCAAUACCCAAUCGAAUCCUCUCCAAGUGAGGACGCCCUACACAAGGGUCAACGACUAUCGCGGAAUCAUUGGUUCCCGACAUUCAUGCAAUGUUAUUUAGUUUUCUAAAUUCAUUGUUCACAAGGCAUUCUCUAAGGGAUCCACCUAUCCCUAGGUCCUUCGACCUCUAGUGUUAUUUACACUACGUUAAUGCCACUCGUUAUCAUUCAAUAUUUGGAUGCCACUCGUUUGUUCUUUGACAAUAACACUACUUUCUAUGUCAUCAAUACCCCCGUCGGGUUCAUCUCUAUCUUUAGCAUCAUAGGAUCCACGUUCCGACCCAAUCCUCACCUAUCUAGUUACCAAGCGUUCCAAGUACACUAGGUUAUCAUUUAGAAAGCAUAAGGAUGGAGCUACCAUGCAAUCCUACAAUGCAACAUGUAAGAGAUGAGAUUAAAUGCAAUCUAAGACAUAGAAAGGAGUUCGAAAGUUUCGGAUGACACCCCCCACCUUGUUACCAAUGUAGAGGCUUUGGAAAUUCUUGUCGGCGAGCUUUGCAAAAAGGCUUUAGCCUUCCUCGCCCGAAUCAAUGCUAGCCCGGCCCAAUUUUGCCGAGAACUCCACGUCGGUUCGCCGAAUGCCAAAAUCGACUUCGCCCCCGCGUUUUGGGACCUAUCAAUAGGGUUUCCAAGGCUUCAAAUGAGAUCAAUCUCAUACAUUUACAAAAACCUCAUUUUGGAACCCUAGAUUUGCACCUAUAGCAAAUCACCCCAUAAAUCCCUAGAUUCUUGGGAUUGAUCUAUUUAGAAGCUUGCUUAGGGUCCAUUUGACCCAUUCCAAGGCAUAAAACCCAAAGACCCUAAGUUCUAGAAGCUAGGGUUAGUAGCUUACCUCAAGAGCUACUCCAAUGGGAAGAGGAGAGGGAGUUGGAGGUGCUCAAAGCCUUCCUCUUGAUCUCCUUCUUCUUCUCCUUCCUUAUCUUCCUCUUCUUUUCCUUCCUCUCCUUCUUGUUCUUCUUCUCCUUCUUUCCUUUCUAGAGAGAGAGAGAGAGCAAGAGAGAAAUGAAAGUGAGAGAGAGAGGAAAUGAGAGAGUGUGAGGGAGAGAGAGGGCUCAGCCCACUCAAAUAAAUGCCAUUUUGCACAAAAGCCCCUCAACUUUCACCCCUGUGCACUGCCCUUACUGGGCAGUUUUCGCGCGGAGGGACCGGUCUCCCCGACUUGGGACCGGUCCCCGAGAGCUUCCCUCGGGCGCACGCGUUCGGGAACCGGUCUCUCCCCGGGAGACCGGUCCUCGGGAGACCGGUCCUCACCUGAGAGACCGGUCCCCGAGAGCUUGAUUUUCAGGACUUAGCUAAUUUUUGGCAUCUCACACUUGGGCCACGUUCGGGAACCGGUCCCUCACCACCAGGGACCGGUUGCAUCACGCAACCCCGCAACACCCAGCCGAGGGAACCGGUCUCUCACCUGCAGAGACCGGUCCCCGAGAGCAACUUCUGCCCAAUGAUGCCAUUUGCCUCAUUUGCUCUCGCGGACUCAACUCCAAGGCACUCUUUGUGCUUUGGACAUUCUCAACUCCCACCAAGGGUUUACUUGCGACAAUCAGUCGAUCCUGGGUGAAGUACAAUCCUCGUAUUUCGAGAAUUCACUUCCUUACACUUUUAUCAUAUAUAUUUGGAUGCCCCGGCUAGAUUAGUUGCAGCCACAGCACGUGCAUAUAUGUUAUAUCAGAUUAGCUGUAGUCUAUUUUCAAACCCCACCGGAUAUGGAGUUCACCUUAAGUGGCUGCCAUUUAUAGCGGAUUUUGAUGCAUGUGGCGGUUUAGCCUGGGGUGCAACAGCACUGGCCUAUCUAUAUCGAGCAUUGGGAUCGGCUGCAUUAAAAGGAAAGGUCGAAUGCUGUUGCUUCGCGACAUUAGUACAGGUAUUAUGAGUAAUAUAUAAUAAUUGUUAUAUAAAGCUUCUCCUUUUUAAUUUCACUUGUUUAAUUUAUUGUCAUUUAUUUAUAGAUUUGGGCGUGGGACCAUCUUCAUGUCGGCCCACCUACUAGCGUUGGAGCUAUUGCCGACAUGGCUGAUUGCCCUUUGGGUUGUCGAUAUGAUAUAUGAAUUUGAUACAUAUUACAUUUCUAUAUAUACAUUUGCAACUAACACGUAUACUUUUCCAAUAUUAGGUGGACGAACGCCGGCGUGUUACGUUUUGGAGCAAACGUUAGAACAACAGAUAUUGAAUUCUACCAAGAUGAGUUAGAUCAGCAGAGAAAGUCCCAGGUACGUAUUAAUGCUACCAAUUUUUUUAAUAUACAACCGUAUUAAUGCAUUCAGCUGACUAUUAUUGGCUUUUUCAUAGAUUACAUAGCGGCCGUACACAGAUGCUAUUAUAGAUGCGCUAUCGGCAUUCUAUGUACAGGGCAGUGAGGUAUGGUGAUCGAGGACGACACUGAUUUCUUUUCAUAUCGUUGAGCUUCACGUGCCGGAUCGAGUCCUACGGCAGUUUGGUCUCCACCAGCAUAUACCCAUUCAGGUGGAGACCAUCCGUCGCGUCACAUCUCAGGGGGCGGCCAGAUGAGGAUUGGACCCAUUUUCAUGCUGCACACAUCAAGAGAUGAGGACAAAGAUUACAGGCCAUUAUUGACCAGCAUCCGAUUGUCGAUGAUGACUCGGUACAGGCGACUUCUAUUUAUAUGGAGUGGUAUUGGCAGAUCACGAGAAGAUGGAUUUCUCGUCCAGUACAGCGUCCACUAUUGACUUACCAGCCUCGGGGCCAGAUCGAGAGAGCUUUGGUACGAUCACUCAUAUGCUAAUUAUUUUUUUAAUCAUAUAUAUAUUAUAGAUUGCCAAAAGUGAGUUUUUAUCGAUAAUGCAGGUAGACGCAUUACGACAGUCUCAGUAUAGCAUCGGACAGCUAGUUCGUGAUCAACCUUCUUACGAUACGAUGCUGGAGAUAUUGACGGGCAUGUAUGCCCACAUUGAGUCAGUACUGGAGUACAUUCCUUUCAUACCUAUUGCCGCUGAUAUCGGAGGUCGAGAUUUUGGUCAUGCCUCGACAUCGGGUCAUCACAAGAGACAAUCACCGACAUCUACUGGAUCAUACUCGAGAUCGAGCCUGCGAGUGUCACGAUCUCCAUCUCCUACUGAUGUUGCAGAUAUGCCCGCCGCCCCUUCAAGAUUUCCUUCUUGCCAUUGGACUUGGACUCGCUUCCGCCGCCAGUCUCUCGAGAGCACUUUAGAUUAGUCUACUAUUGACGUCAUGCCGCGUCAUCAUGACAGGCCCGCCUAGCAUCUACAUCGGCCACUAUCGAGGGUGAUCGACCUGAGCCAGAGGAGACUCAUGCGAUUCCGGAGCAUCCCGAGGGCAUUAUCAUUGCGGAUCUCGAUCAGAUGGCCGGUAUCGAGGCACUUGAUGACGUACCUACUGCUGAGCUCGAUGUACAGGGUGGCCGUAUGUGACACCCCAAUAGUCCCACAUCGGAUGGAAAAGGGGUUGUCAUUGGGUUUAUAUGAGACUUAGACACUAGUAAUAAUAACUGGGCUUAAGCAUUUUGGGCCGGUGGUUGGGCCCAACGAGUUAUUGUUGCUAGUGGGCUGGGUCGUUACAUUUGGUAUAAGAGCCAGUUUACCAGCUGGACAUGUGUGGCGAGUCUCGGCUGAGCCAAGGUCUAGAUGACGGGCUAGCGAGACGAGUCUCACAUCGCCUGGUGAUCUUGGGCUGUGUGUGUGAUUGGACUGACGAGGACGUCAGGGCCUUAACGGGGGGAGUCUGUGACACCCCAAUAGUCCCACAUCGGAUGGGAAAGGGGUUGUCAUUGGGUUUAUAUGAGACUUAGACACUAGUAAUAAUAACUGGGCUUAAGCAUUUUGGGCCGGUGGUUGGGCCCAACGAGUUAUUGUUGCUAGUGGGCUGGGUCGUUACACUGUAGAUGUGGACGUGGCCGUGGCCAAGGAUGUGGCCGAGGACGUCGAGGGAGAGGAAGAUCAAGAGACUGAUUGUAUAUUUUUUUUAUUUUGAGAGCAUUCGUUGUAUAAUAUUAUAUAAUACUUUAUUUAGUUCAUAUUUGUAUAUUUGUCUGUGUUUUUUUUAUAUUUUUACCUAGUUGAUUGUAUCUUGUUAUUCCACUUGUGAUGUUGUGUUUCUUGUUGGAAUAUUUGUUAUCGUGAAAAAACUUGCCUCAAACUUGUUCUAACUUGUUUUUAAAAUCGAGCUGAAUUUAUCACCUGCUGCAUGUUUGCACUAAAGGCGGUGAAUGGUUCACCGCCUCUAGUGCAAAUCCACGAAGCCCUCCACGAAGCUGCAAAAAAAUGGCUAUUUCCUAGACUGGGGGCUGUUUACAUUAAAGGCGGUGAACUAUUCACCGCCGUUAGUGUAGCACAAAUAAGACGGUAAACCAUUCACCGUCUUAUCAGUGUUUUAGCCCGAACUCCAGGACUUAGCCAAAUUAGGCUGGGUGGGAGUUUACUCUAAAGACGGUAAAUCAUUGACCGUCUUAUGAAGACGGUGAACAAUUCACCGUCUUAUAUAGGCCACAAAACCGUCGACUUUUGCGGGGAUUUGCUGCGAAGGUGGUGAAUGGUACACGCCUUCAGAAGGCGGUCAACCAUUCACCACCUUCUCUAGGACACCUUGGCAAAGCCGGGGUUGGGAUUUGCCGAGAAGACGGUAAACUAUUCACCGCCUUCUCUAGGGCACCUUCGGAAAGCAGGGGAGGGGUUUUGCUCUAAGGGAAAGCGGGGGAGCGGUUUUGCUCUAAAGGCGGUGAAUGGUGGUGAACGAUUCACCGCCUUAUGAAGAUGGUGAACGAAUCACCGUCUUUGCGAGAAAAAUCUGAGGUGGCGCCGACGUGGCGAAAUGAGGGUUAGUUUUACAAAUAAAUUUUUCAGAGGGUCAUUUUGCCAAUUACAAAAUUUUACAGGGUUAUUUUCAAAAAAAGCCCUGAUAUUAUUAUUAUUAUUAUUAUUAUUAUUAUUAUUAUUAUUAUUAUUAUUAUUAUUAUUAUUAUUAUUAUAAAAUAUUAUUAGUGAACCAUACACUACAAAUAUAAAAUAUUUUAACAAUAAAUUUUUAAUUAAUAUUUUUAUAUUUAUAUUAUUUUAUUAUUUUAACUAUUAAUUCAAUAAAUUUAAAUAAAUAUAAAAAUAAUUUAAAUUAGUUUAUAUAAGGUUUUCUUUUUAAUAUUUAGCCCCUCAAACAAAAAUUUUCAUAAAUAGUCCGAUAAAAUUUAUAUUUGCAAGAUUAGUUGUAUUCCCGCCACGGAAGCGCCAUAUAAGCGCCACGUGAGUAUGGAUGAUGGUGCAGAUUAAAUUGAACAUGGUGAAUCAUUCACUGUGUAGGAACACGGUGAAGGAUUCACCGUGUUCCAUUAUUUUCCUACCAAGUAAUAUUUAGGGUUAUGGUUUAGGAAAGACACGUUAAACCAUUUACUGUGUUCAACUUAAUAUUGCGCUCGCGUUGCGCUUCCAUAGUAGGGAUAGGGCCUAUCUUACAAUAUAAAUUUUGUGGGGCUAUUUGUGAAAAAGGAAAAUCUAAGGGGGCUAAAUGCAAAAAAAGCUCACUAUGUAUGAUAUAAUUUUUUGUAAAAAUUUACCAAUAAUUAAAUCAUUUUAUGAACGGAUGUGAAAAAAAAAAUUAUUAGAACGGAAACUACUAAAUUAUUUUUAAAAACUUUAUAUAAAUUUAAAAUUUAAUAAAUUUAAUAGAUAUAGUAAUUGUUAGUUAUUGGUUAUUUAAUUUUAUUUCAUUAAAAUUAAUUAUAAUUAUUGAAUUUGGCCAAAUUUUGAAUAAAAUUUAAUAAAAAUUUUGUUUAGUUAACUAAACCUAAUCAUAAAAAAUCAGAAAUUAUACAGAAAUUAGUUAAAAUUAAAUAAAUUUGAGAGAUCUAUUAAAAAGCAUCCUAAUAGUUGAAGGGGCUCUUCACAUAUUUUUUUACCAAUACUUUUUUUUUUUUGGUGAAAAUGUAAAAGGACAUCCUCACCUAUUGACAAUUUUGAUAUGGACCCUUUAUUUUUUCAGGCCAUUAUAAAAAAGAUCCCUAGUUAUUUUUUUUCCAUACAAAUUCAACUUUAAUUUUUAAUAUAAAUUAUUAUCUUACUUAAAUUAAAUUUUUAUUAAUGUACUAACACUAUUAACUAUUAGCUAUUAAAUUAUAUAAUUUUAUUUUACAAAUUUGGUAAAGUUCCUAAGAAAUUCUUAGAAUCUCUAAUUUAAUUAAUUCCAAUAAUUCAAUUCCAAGAAAAGAUAAAAAUUUAAUAAAUCUAAACAAUAAUUUAAGGCUAAAUUGCAAAAAAUGCUCUACCACUUUAUCUCUCGCCUCAAUAAUCCCCGCACUAAAAAUUACACAAAUUACUCUCCUAUAUUUUGCCAUUAUUUCAAAAAAGCUAUAAAAUUUUUUAAAAAUAANGGCCCCGCUGUUUGCUGUUCGGCUUUAAGACUUUAAUACAAUUUCUCAAGAUAAAUGACAAAAACUGCACUCCCCGCAACAGGGAUAAUAGUGCAACGCGAAAAAGCAAUGCCAGAAAAAAUGGUGCAACUGCCCUUCUAACAUGCAACGUAGGGUAAAAGACUACAACUGUGAUUGUAAUAGUGCAAUGUGGUCGACAGAAUAGUUCAAUGGUUUUAGGAAGCGGAGGCGUCGGAGAAGAGACCGAACAGCAAACACUAGGUGCGGAGUAGGAGGAGGCUCCACCACCUCUUUAUUGCCGCCGCCGCCGUGGCGCUUCACCUCCGCGCACCAGGGAUAAUAGUGCAAGGCGAAGGUUCUACGGCAGGAGAAAUAGUGGAACGAACCUUCUAACAUGCAACCGUAGCCUCGUUCUAGUGCAACCUCUCCAUAACCAAUCAAAAUUUUACUUAUUUUAUUUCAUAAUGUAAUCUUAAGCUAAUAGUAAAAAUGAAAGGACAUGGGGGCCGUCGAUAAUACCGGGGCGGAGUGGGAGGAGGCUCCACGAUGUCUUUAUCGCCGCCGCCGCCGUGUCGACUUCACCUCCGCGCGCCAGGGAUAAUAGUGCAACGCGAAGGUUCUAUGGUAGGAGAAAUGGUGCAACGGCCCUUCUAACAAUGCAUCCGUAGCAUCGUUCUAGUGCAAUCUCUCCAUAACCAUUCAAAAUUUUACUUAUUUUAUUUCAUAAUGUAAUCAUAAGCUAAUAGUGCAAAUGAAAGGGCAUGGGGGUCGUCGAAAAUACCGGGGCGGAGUGGGAGAAGGCUCCACCACCUCUUUAUCGCCGCCGCCACCAUGUCGACUUCACCUCCACGCGCCAGGGAUAAUAGUGCAAGGCGAAGGUUUUACGGCAGGAGAAAUGGUGCAACGACCCUUCUAACAGUGCAUCCGUAGCAUCGUUCCAGUGCAACCUCCCCAUAACCAUUCAAAAUUUUACUUAUUUUAUUUCAUAAUAUAAUCAUAAGCUAAUAGUGCAAAUGAAAGGGCAUGGGGGCCGUCGAAAAUACCAGGGCGGAGUGGGAGGAGGCUCCACCACCACUUCAUCCCCGCCGCCGCCAUGUCGCUUCACCUCCGCGGGCCAGGGAUAAUAGUGCAACGCGAAGGUUCUACGGCAGGAUAAUGGUGCAACAACCAGUCUAACAGUGCAUCUGUCACGCCCCGAGACCGGCACCAAUUUGGCCCGACCCGAGCACGUCAAACAGACGCCGAACGGACAGAGUUUCCCCUGUCCGCCCAAGGCUCAUCACAUGUACAAAAUUCAAACAAGAAUUGCACUAGCGGAAACAUACACAAACGGCUUACACGAGGGUAAGCAAAAGCCAUUAGUGAAAGAAAAAGGAAAACUAAACAUUCACUUGUACUAUGAUUCAGUUUUGAUCAUAUACAUUGCAUUCAUCUUGUUCAUUUUCGAAUUCCUUACAUUUCCUUACAUCAUUUCAUCAUUUCUUUCUUACAUCACGUUUACCUCAAAACAAGCUUUACAUUCUUUCUUUACAUCACUAAUCAUCAAGUACAAAAGAUGAUAAAAGGGUGUCUACUAACAAAAUGUAACCCAACAUUGGUGGCCUUUGACUACGGUGCGAUACCUUUACCGCGGUCGCUCGCCGGCUCACUCGGUCCCGGCUCUGUGGAAAUAGUGGGGUGAGAACUACAACAAAGUUCCCAGUGGGUUCGGCCUCAACAUCACCGACUUUCCCACUAGGACUAACUCAGGCAUAAUAGAAAGGAUAAGCUGAAAUAUAGUAACCAAUCUACAACAUGAUGCUAAUAUGCCUGAACAAAAUCAAGGAAUAUGCUCAACAUUAAACAGAUGCAGAUUAUGCAAGUUCUUUCGUUCUUUACACUUUACACUUUACACUUUGUUCUUUGCUCUUUGUUCUUUACUCUUUAAUCUCAAGGCUAACCCGGGGGUUUCGCCACAUUAACUUGCUUCACAUUAAGUCCAUCAUCGCAGGAACUCACCCGCUAGGACCGUCCUUACGGGUUUACUCCAACACGGAUGCAUAACUCCGGAGCGCAUCGCCGAGGGGAAGCGACCGGCCUCGAGACGUCGAACUAAUAGCAAGCAUGAUCAUAUCCUUACUGCAAAUGAUUUUAAUAAGUUCAAUCUUGACUUUACACUAGCUUUAGUGUUCAUUAUACUCAUUUAUGUUGGCAAAUCAUGCAAUCACGAAUUCUUUCGUUUUUUUAUUUUGCUAACUCUAGCAAUUUAUUCUUUACAUCUUUCUGUUUUGGCCCUACUCCUAGCACUUCGUCGUUCUAUUAUUUCCCACACUCUACUUUUAACCUUAAAAACAUAGUCUUUUUAUCAUUUCCUUUACAUUGCGUUUUGGUUCGUUUGCACUCACACGUACUCUAGUGUUCUCUUUACUUUACAUUUUAAUGGCCACUCGAUUCAUACUGUCAUUUGCACUCUGUUCGAUUUUGCUCACUUUGGAAGUACUCCAUUCUUUCUCUAUGCAUACAGUCUAGUGUUUUGGACAUUAUUAGGUGUCGUAACCAUUCAUUAUGCAAGUUAGUGUCACAAUCAUGCAAUUCAUACAUUUCAUCCUUACUUACCAUAAAAUGCAUGCAACAGUAUAUAGAAAAUGAUGCUCAAAGAAUGGACACAUUAAGGAUGAGAGAAUUUCAAUCGAGUUUUGAAAAAGCUCCCCUGAUGAUAGGUCUUAUUUAGGUGCUCGGUGUUUCUUGGUGAUUUUUAUGAACAGUCAUAUUGUUUCUGUUACCAUAACAGGCAAAACACGAACUUUUUAGGUUCCCAUUUUGCCCUUACUUGCUUUGACUUUCGUUAAAGUUUAUAAAGUUCCCUUAGACGCCAACCAGAGCCGUCGGAAAUAACCCCCAAUCUAGAUUGUUGUAAGCUGUGCAAUUGUCAACUUAGAAAUCCCCAUGAGCACAAAAUGCUUUCAUUUGGGUCGGCCCUAGUCCAAUGUAAAUCAAAAGACUAGGGGAUCAAUUGAUCUCAUUGGGAAGCAAAGUAGCUUAUGUACACUCUAAUUAUUCCAUUAAACCCAAUUAUUAGGCCUUUCAAAACCUAGUUAGUUGGAUAUUCACCAUAGAGGUGGGUUGAAGCUCACCUUGAGCUCAACCAUGGUUUUGAUCUUUCUAAAGAAGCAAAAGAAAGCUUAAUACUCUUAAAAACUCACAUAAAAACAAUUCUAGGCUUACCCAAACCCUAGUUUGGAGAAUCAUCGAAAGGGGCAAAGCUUACCUCAAGCUUGCCUAACUUGACUAAGAGAGAAGAAGAUGAAGCUACCUUUUGAUAGAAUGAUGUUUCAACUUCUCUUUGAUCUGUUUUUCACUUCUCGUUCUCUCGUCCUUCCUUACCUUCUUUUCUUCUUUCUCUUCUCUACCUUUGAUAUUCUUGUGAGAGAGGGAGAGAAGAGAGUGUGAGAGGGUGAGAAUGAGAGAAAUGUCUCAUUUACCCCAAUACUAUACUCAAUGGGUUGCAAAAUUGCAGCUAAACCCCUCAACUUUCACUUUAAUACACUGCCCGAACUGGGCAGUUCGCGCAGGCAGGGACCGGUCUCUCCCUUUAGGGACCGGUUCCCGAACGUUGUCCCAGCACAGCCAGAGCUGCUGCGCGCAGUGCAACCGGUCUCUCUCUGUGGGACCGGUCUCUCGGGGACCGGUCUCUCAGGCAGGGACCGGUUCCCGAGAGCUACUUUCUCAGGACUUAGCCGAUUUUCCGGCUGUCUCAUUUCAUACGCAUUCGGGGACCGGUCUCUCCCACUAGGGACCGGUCCCCGAGAGCUGAAAAUCUGCAGUUUUGCAGAAUUUGAUUCUUUAGCUCUCGAAAACCUUCCACAACUCACUUUUGAUCAUUUUUAACACCUUCGGACUUUCCGAAGUGUGCCAUCCUCGCACUUUGGUCAAUUUGACUAAAGUUCGACAUUUAUUUUCCGAAUUUUCGGUAUAUUACAACAUCCGUAGCCUCGUUCCAGUGGAACAUCUCGAUAACCAGUCAAAAUUUUACAUUAGGAAGCUUUCAUGCACUCUUUUACCGCAUUUUGUAUUAUCGUCAAAGUCAAUGAAUAUUUUUAUACUAUAUUAAUAAAGAGAUCCCUUUCUUUACAUUGUUACGUCGUGGAUCUAAAUACAUCUGUAUAAUUUAUUAUUUUGUUGCACUGCGUUGAGCAUUAUUACACUAUUACAGCUAAUUUUGCACUAUUACUUCCGUCCAAUAUGCCAUUCUUUGGCUAUUUAACACGAUUAAAAAGUGCAACGCAUUGUAAACGAGCUCAACCAUGUUCAUUUAAGUGCAAUAAUAUCGUAGUAAUCGUUCAAUAGUUUAAAGUAAUGGUGGAACGACUCAAACCUUUUAUACAGUGCAACCUUUCCCGAGGAAACUUCGUUGUGUCCGCCGGUGUCCCUUCGCCUCACUUACCGGCCACCGCCAUCUUCGCUCACCCACUCGAGUAUAACGUUCACAUCAAUGUACUUACACUGUCGCAAUAUUUAAUGCGACUGGCGUGUGAAACGCUAUUCGCCAUUGCCGGUGUUUGCUGUUUGUUUCUCGCUAUUGUCUGUUUGUAGUGCUUACGUUUUAUGUUUUGUAUGGAUUCUUACGCUGUUUUCUGAAUAGGUUGGCCCAUACUAGCAUCCCACUAACUUUCAAACUGCUGUCGCUCCCCAUUACCCUAUUCUAAACCUUCACUGCGAAGCAAACUGCCUUGCAACCCCCAUAUUUCCUAGCAACCGCAUUGCUCUUUGUGACCACCAUCUUCUGCUUCGAAUCCCAUCGGUCAAGAAACGACCUAUCUAAAUCUACGUAGCUUGUAAUGGCGUCGAAGUCGUCGCAUUCUACUGAUUCAUUGGCUUCCGGCGGCCGCAAGGCACCUUCGCGGCCGGUUGCCGGCGGCCCCGCCGAUAGAUUCAUUGUGAAUUCGCGGUGUUUCGUCGGAGCAUACAGGAAGACUUAUGCAUCUGUCGUGAAGCCGCAUCAUCUCCCCGUUAUCCAACGGACGGUAUUCGGUAAUAUCUUACACUUCCCCGACAUCACCUCAGAUAGGCCCAUGCUGGAGUUAAUCCUCCGACAUUGGAAGGAGGGUGUAGAAUUCGAAAUAGGCCCUCAAGUUAUACGCUUCACAGCCAAGGAGGUGGCAGUUCUUCUUGGAUUACCCCUGUCGAGCCAGGCUCUAGACCUAACCCUCAAUUUAGGGUCGGAUAUUCAUAAUCAGUUUCUUGAGAGAAAGAAGGUCGACCGCAAGAACCUGGAGGUGAUGUUAAAGGAGAUGUCAAAUAAGCAGGGUGAAGAGGACAUUACCGACUUCGUCAAAUUACUUAUUGUUUAUUUUUUUUGUUGUAUUCUUUUCACCAAUACCAAUAAUCUCUGCCCCGAAAGACUGGUGGGGCUUGUAGAUGAUCUCCCCACACUGUCACGGUACAAUUGGCUGGAAGCAGUACACCGGCUUAUAAUUGACAGCCUAUGCUCCGCCGCGGCCAAAUUGCAAGCUAAUUCGAAGCGGGUAGGAUACGUUCUUGGAUGCACCCCGCUUCUCCUAGUAAGUGUAUAUUGUUCAAGUAAUCGUGCAAGAUAAUUAUUAUGUGUUUUCAAUCGUUCAUGCGUGUACAGAUUUGUAGUGUAAUCGUGCGAAAAUAAUCUAUUGUAUGCUUAAAUCUAGUAACUGUGUAAUGUAAUAUACCGAAAAUUCGGAAAAUAAAUAUCGAACUUUAGUCAAAUUGACCAAAGUGCGAGGACGGUACACUUCGGAAAGUCCGGAGGUAUUAAAACGAUCAAAAGUGUGUUGUGGAAGGUUUUCGAGAGCUAAAGAAUCAAAUCCUGCAAAACUGCAGAUUUUCAGCUCUCGGGGACCGGUCCCUGGUGGGAGAGACCGGUCCCCGAACGCGUAUGAAAUGAGACAGCCGAAAAAUCGGCUAAGUCCUGAGAAAGUAGCUCUCGGGAACCGGUCCUUGUCCGAGAGACAGGUCCCCGAGAGACCGGUCCCCCAAAGAGAGACCGGUUGCCCUGCGCGCAGCAACUCUGGCUGCGCGGAGAGAGCCUUCGGGAACCGGUCCCUGAAGGAGAGACCGGUCCCCGAGCCCGAAAUCUGCCCAGUCCAGGCAGUUGAAUAAGAUGAAAGUUGAGGGGUUUAUUUGCAUUUUUGCAACCUAUGGGUUAUGUAGAGGGCUGAGAGAGCCUUUUCUCUCAUUCUCUCCCUCACACACACUCCCUUCUCUCCCUCUCUCUCUCUAGAAGACAAAGGAGAAGAGAACAAAGAAAGAAAAGAAGGAAAAGAAGACAAAGAAGGUGAAGAAGAAGCUUUUGGAGCAAAGAGGCUUCAUCUCCUUCUUCUCUAGUGCAAGAAAAUGAAGCUUACAAGGUAAGCUUUGAACCCUAAUGUAGUAAAACCCUAGAAAUGGGUUUGAAUGAACCUAGAAAUGGUUUCUAAUGGAAUAUCUAGUAGUUUGAAGCUUUCUUUUUGCUUCUUUAGAGAUCAAAACCAUGGUUGAGCUCAAGGUGAGCUUCAACCCACCUCUAAUGGUGAAAUCUAAUCUAGGAUUUUGGAAAGCCUAAGAAUGGUUCUAAUGGACUAUUUAGAGUAUAUUGAAGCUACUUUUGCUUCCCAAUGAGAUCAAACCCUAGGUUUUGAUAUACAUGGGAGCUAGGGCACCCAAAUUGGGGCUUUUGCUCAUGAGGGUUUCUAAGUGCAAUUGGCCCUCUAGAAAUCUAAUUGGGGGUAUUUCCGACGCGUUGGUGCGUUCGAAUUAACGUUACGAAAAGUCUAUAGAAAGAUAUGGGCAAAAUAGCCUAAGUUGGCUUCGUUUUGCCGCAGGUGAAGAACGAGGAGCCUAUAAAUCCCAAGAAAAUCGUCGGAGCACCUAAAUAGACCUACGAGGUGGGUGGUGCUUCUCAAACUCAUUGAACUUCUCUCUAUGCCUAAUGUGUCAUUCAUUGAGCAUGUGUAUAUAUAUUGUUGCAUGCAUUUUAGGUAAAGUAAUGAUGAAAAUGUGAUGUUGCAUGAUUGUGAGUACAACUUGCAUAAUAUGAUGAAUAAGAACUAUGUAAAUGUCAAAAACCCUAUGUGUAUGCAUGAGAGAAAAGUGAGCACCCAAGGUGAGCAAAAGAACAGAGUGACACAAUGACAUAGAUCGAGUGGCAUUUGAUAAAGUUAAAGUGAAAUGACACUAGAGAUAGUGUGAGGUAAAGAACCAAUGUAAUGUAAAGAAUGACGAAAAUGACAAUAUGUAUAAAGUUAAAGUAAAGUGGGGCAAUAAGAACAAGAAAUGUAAAGAACAAGAAUGUUAAAGAUGGCAAAAGUAAAAGAAAAGUAAAGAACAAUGAUUGCUAGAGUUAGCAACAUAAAGUGAUGAAAGAACACUAGAGCUAGUGUAAAGUCAAGAUUGAACUUAUAAAUCCUUUGAGUUAAGGAUAUGAUCAUACUUGCUAUGAGUUCCGUGCUCGAGGGCGGUCGCUCCCCCUCGGGCGAUGCGCUCCGGAGUUAUGCAUCACGGGUUGGAGUAAACCCGAAGGACGGUCCUAGCGGGUGAGUUCCUGCGAUGAUGGACUUAAUGUGAAGCAAGUUAAUGUGGCGAAACCCCCGGGUUAGCCUUGAGAUUAAAGAAUAAAGAACAAAGAGCAAAGAACAAAGAACAAAGUGUAAAGAUAAAGAACGAAAGAAUUUGCAUAAUCUGCAUAUGUUAAUGUUGAGCAUAUUCCUUGCUUUUGUUCAGGCAUAUUAGCAUCAUGUUGUAGAUUGGUUACUAUAUUUCAGCUUAUCCUUUCUAUUAUGCCUGAGUUAGUCCUAGUGGGAAAGUCGGUGAUGUUGAGGCCGAACCCACUGGGAACUUUGUUGUAGUUCUCACCCCACUAUUUCCACAGAGCCGGGACCGAGUGAGCCGGCGAGCGACCGAGGUAAAGGUAUCGCGCCUUAGACAGAGGCCACCAGAAUUGAGUUGGGUUUGCAUUUUGAUAGUGGCUACCCUAUGUUCAUCUUCUGUACGUGAUGAUUAGUAAUGUAAAGAAAAGAAUGUAAUGUGUAUUUUGAGGUAAAUGUGAUGUAAGAAAGAAAUGAUGAAAUGAUGUAAUGAAACGCAAAGAAUCCUAAAUGUAAGAAAUGGAUGCAAUGUAUAUGAUCUAAAAUGAAUCAUAUUACUUGUGUAGAAGUUUAGUUUUCCUAUCUUUCACUAAUGGCUAUUGCUUACCCUCGUGUAAGCCGUUUAUGUAUGUUUCCGCUAGUGCAUUUCUCGUUGAAUUUGUACGUGUGAUGAGCCUUGGGCGGAUAGGGGAAACUCUGUCCGUUCGGCGUCUGUUUGACGUGCUCGGGUCGGGCCAAAUUGGUAUCGGUCCCGGGGCGUGACAGUGUAAACUCUAGUGUAAUAUUGUCUUUGUAUUCAGGUGUGGAUAUACGAGCACACUGGAUAUAGAUGUCCCCUGCCUUCCCAUCGUGCAAUAUUUUCUCGUGUCCAGAGGUGGGAUACGAUUAGAUGGUCUCGUCGUUCGCGGGGAUCAUCGAGAGUGAAGGAAGAUUUUAACUUCACUACAUGCUGCCGCAGGCUUGACCUCUCCCCGGAGGAACUACGCCUGGUGGGUGUCGUGGCUCAAGUUCCACGGCGCCACCGCCGCCCCAGGAAUGAGGAACCUCCGGGGGGUUAUAAAGAGGUGAUGGCGGCAAUUAGCCGUCUGGAGUCCGUGGUGUUCAGUCUUGCCACCUCCGUUGCCGGCAUACUGAGCAAUCCGGCACUCCUACCAGCACCAAAAUCCACCCUGGCACCUAUUGGAAGUAUCAAAAGCAAGAAGAGGAGACAUGAAGGAGUGCAAAUACCAAGCCCUCCACCGUCUAAAUCAUCUAAGCGAUCGACACAGGGAGCUAAAAAAGGAAAGAUAGGAACGUCCAUAUUGGCGAUGCCCGCACCGAUCUCGGCCAUUAAGGCGAAGCCCGAAAUCGGUAAAGAACGGUCGAGAUCUUCUUCGAAAUCUAGAAAGGAUGGGGCACGCCAAAAACUAGAGAGUCCGCCAAAGGCUCCCAAGGACUCUCGUAAAAAUCGCACGCUGGGGAGGGGCAAACGAUUUCGAAGCCGUACAAUCUCCGACCUCGCUGGGGAUGAAAGAAUAAAGCCGACGACCCAAUUGCCGACGUAUGCGACGUCCUUAUUAUUUUACAUUCUCAACAAACGAUUGAUUCUAAUAUGGCAUCUCCAUAAUAGUGUAACUCUACAAGACUUGGAUUAAUAAAAUCAUGUUUUAGUUCUAUAAUUGUGUAACCUUUAUUAUAAUCGUGCAUCAUAUUUUAGAGUAGUGUAACAUAGAACACAUUAUUUAUAUGCAGGUCCCCCCACCGAGACGGAGCGUCAAGUCACAAUCGCCGCGCCCGCUCAAUAUAUAUGAAGAAAAUAUCGAAGAAAGCGACAGUCGAACAGCGGGACUCUUCGCCAGCGAGUCAGUUUUGCAUAGAGAUGAAGUAUGUAAUAGUGUAAGUUGUAAUUAAAUAGUGUAAUUCCUAACGAAUUUGUUUAUGUGAUGUCAAAUAUUUUUUGAAAAUGUCAGCUGAUGGACAUCGUCAUCGAAAUAUGUGAAGACAUCCAACCGUUAUCUUCACUACUAGAGGUGCCGGCGGCAGAGGAAAAGGGGGAGGAGGAGGCCGCGGAGAAAGCGGCCGCCGAGAAAAUUGUGGAGUCGGCUGUUGGGGCGGUGGAGGUGGAGGUUGCACCAGUGACAGCGCCGGCGGCGGAGGAUGCAUGCUCUGAGGAAAAGUUGGAGGCGGCGACAGCUCCGGCGGAGGAUGAAGAAAAGGAGGAGGUGGAGGCUGCACCAGUGACAGCGCCAGCGGCGGAGGAUGCAGGCUCUGCGGAAAAGGUGGAGGCGGCGACAGCACUGGCGGAGGAUGAAGAAAAGGAGGAGGUGGAGGCUGCACCAAUGACAGCGCCGGCGACGGAGGAUGCAGGCUCUGAGGAAAAGGUGGAGGCGACGACAGCUCCGGCGGAGGAUGAAGAAAAAGAGGAGGCGACGGCGGCGGCGGAGCAUGUGGUUAAGGAGGCGAAGGCGGCGGCUGAUGAUGUGGUAAAGGAGGCGAAGGCGGCGGCGGAGGAUGUGUUCCCGGCGCCUACCCACACUGCGAAGUCUUCCAUGCCGGAACCCAGCACUAUACCGGUAUGUGAAUAUUGCACUAUUAUCGAUCUUUAAUGCGAUUUAGCUUAUAAUAGUGUAAUAAGGUCCAGUAAUGGUGUAAUUCAUUGAGUGUAACAGCUUAUAAUAGUGUAAUAAGGUCCAGCAAUGGUGUAAUGCAUUGAGUGUUUAACUCUUUAUUUGAUUUCUAUACAGCCCCCAAUAAUUAUCGACAUCCUGGAGUUGAAAGAAACGUAAAAAAAACAAAAGGCCCAAAAACUUAAAUUGAAGGUACCAUUAUCUUCAGCUAAUCGGGAUUUAAAAUACGACGGCAAGGGAGAGUUACCAAAGGAGGAUCAAGAGCGAAUUGAAAAAUUCCUGACAAGUACCAAUACCGAACCAGUAAGAGUGCCUUCGAAGGGUAUUGACAUCGGGAGGAUUGACUUCAUUGACCUAACAAGUCAUAUGGCCUUUGUCAGCUCUGAUAUUAUCGACGCCUACCAGCAUUUACUGGAGUAGGCAGAAGGCCACAAGUGCAUAUACACCACGUCCUUCCUUUGUCAGACAAUAGGAACAUCAAUGAACCCCGCCGAGAUGUUUUUGCAAGACAUCAACGAGGAGGUGAUUACUGGGGCAAAGUACUGGUUCAUCCCACUCUUCCACUCCGACCACUGGCAUUUGCCAGCGGUCGAUCUCCAAGCCGGAAAGUACAUCCACCUAUCGUCCAUUAAAAAUCCUAAAUACAACGCUGGGUUUGAGACAGCGGUAAGUAUUUUCUUUUUAUAUAUAUAUAAAANUAUAUAUAUAUAUAUAUAUAUAUAUAUAUAUAUAUAUAUAUAUAUAUAUCGUCCAGUAAAAACCAGGCUUUCUAAUUAGUCCAAUGUUUUCUUAUGUAGUGUAAAUACAUAGGUAAUUUUUUGCAAAAUAAAUUUUUCGAUUUGUUUCUUCGCCGCGGUACCCGUCCAGUCGACUGGGAGAUGAUCAACAGGGAUGACAUCCCGAUGCAAGAUCAAUCAAAUGAUUGCGCAAUCUUCCUUUUAACAUACGAAGAAUACUUGCAGAAGGGGUGGAACUUGAACUUCUCCCAGAAAGAUAUAACGAAGAAACGCGAGGAGAUAACAACAGAAUUUUUGCGGCAUUUUUACUCACAAUAAUUCUAGCCUUAUUCAUUCGAUUAACAAAUCUUUAAUUUGUAUAGUCAAUUUAUUUUUAUUGACUCCAUCCGUGUAACAGUGCAAUGUAAUGUACAUAAUGGUGCAUUUUAUUGUAAAAGUGGUGUAAAAAAAUUCAUCUUAUAUUAUAACGGUGCAAUGUAAUAGACAUAAUAGUGCAAUUUUUUGAAGAAGUGGUGUAAAAGAAUUCAUGAUGAUUGUAACGUUGCAAUGUAAUAGACAUAAUAGUGAAAAGUUGUUAAACGAAUCCACUUGUAUUCUAACGGUGCAAUGUAAUUGUCACGCCCCGAGCUCCGCCGAUUUGGUCGGAUUCGAGCACAUGACAGACGCCGAACUGACAGUACCUCCCCUGUCCGCCCAAGGCUCCAACAACAAGUAUAAUACAAGCAAAUCAACAAGGAGAAUUGCGAGAUAUAUUAGGUUUGCACGAGGGCAAACAACAACCACAGUGAAAGCAUCGAACUAACUAAACAUCCAACAUACAUGUCAUUUGAUCUCAUUUGAAUCAAACACAAGUAGUCAAACACAUUUACAUUCAUUACAUUAUUCUUGCAUUACCCAAAAUACAAUUUACAUUACAUCACUUUUACUUUACAAUUUCAACAUACAAAAGUUGAAUACAUCAAGAGUAGGGUAUGCCUAUAUAACUCCGGGGUCGCUAUCUACGGCGCGACUCCCUUGCCUCGAUCCUCCGCCGCCCCGCUCGCAUAUGGAUCUGCAGGGUUAGUGGUAAUGAGAACUAGAACGAAGUUCCCAGUGGGUUCGGCCGCCGACCACGCCGAUUCGCCCACUAGGUCUAAUUCAGGCAUAUGUAUUUCAAUAAAGAAGAAUAACAAACCAACUAAUGCACUUCUAAUACAAUGCCUGCAAAAAAACGAUUCACAGAUAGAUAUUCAUAUUCAAAUACAUGAUUAUUAUGCAUGCAUGUUCUUUUCACUUUCCUUUGGCCUUUACCAAAUCAACCUGGGGUGCUCCUGGUUUACCCCAACUCACAGUCCGCACAUCCAUCUAACGGGGGAGGCACAAGGCACAACCACCCGAAGGAUCUUCGCUGGGCACGUCCACCCGUGGUGCAUUUCUUCUCCGGAGUACACCGCCCGUGGAGGAGCGACCUCGCACAAGCCGGAACCAAUACAUGUGAGUAUGAUCCCAUCCUCAAAUUUGAGGAGGUAUGGCCAACCUGUCACUGUCUCAAGGCCGAUGAAUGGUUACAACCUAUUCAUGCACAUACCGUCACUUGCCAAUGUCAUGGUGGUCCUAAUGCCACAAUACACAUAAUGUCACUCUGGUAAAACCUUGUUUAACUAUUCACUCAUCGAUGUCAAUCGAGUCACUAAUGUCCAUGUCGCCUUUGUUUACUACGGUCACAGUCAUUUCUUACAUUCACAUGCAUAUAGGGUCUUUCACUAUUCUUGUUCACAUGUUUCUAUAUCAUUACAAUAAUCUCACGCAGAUAAUUGUCACAACCAACAUAUACUGUUCAUUACCCUACAUGCAAGAAUGCCAUAAUCUCAACAUGCUCAAAGAAAGGAUAUAGACAUAGAAAGAGAUCCGGUAUUUCCGGAUAGCACCCCCCACCUUUAUGUGUCACAAGGAUGCCACGAUUCUGAUUCCACGAUUUUUAGGCUUGUUCGCCGCGAGCUACGGCGAUCUGUACUAUUUCAACUUGUUUUCUCAAUAUCUUCGCGCACGCUCGUCGUAUCGCCGAACCGAGCGCACCGACGCGUUCGUAGACCUACCAAUUUGGUUAAAAUGAGAUCAAAUCCAAGUUUGAACCUCAAAAUUACAAAAUCCUAAAUAUAGGUCCCUCGACAAAGUCAUCUUCCCCAACAUAGGUCCUUACACAUGAGAAACUUGGGGAAAAUACUCUAACCCAUCUCCUAGAAGCACACUAGAAGGAAAAAUCCAAACUCUAGCUCAAAACCCAUGAGAACUCACCUUUGGAGUCCAAAGCUUCCUUCAAAAGCUUUGAUCAACCUUGCUCUACACCUUGGAGAGCUUCUUCUCCAAGCUUGCUCCUUCAAAUCCCCUCUUGGUCCAAGCCCUAAAGAGAGAGAGAGAGAGAAGAGAAGGAUUUUAGAGAGAGAAAGGGAAGGUUUUGAGAGUGAGAGUGAGAGUGAGAACAAAUGGUUCUCACUCAUGCCCUAGCUCAAAUAACCCUUCACAUGCCAUAUUUGCAUCUAAACCCCUCAACUUUUCAUUUUUACAAACAACCCUCACUGGGCAUUUUCGGGCUCGGGGACCGAUCUCUCCCCUUCAGGGACCGGUUCCCGAGAGCUACCCUGCACUCAGCGCAGAAGGGGACCGGUCUUCCCCUGAUGAAACUGGUCUCCGGGGACCGGUAUCCCGCCGAAGGACCAGUUCCCGAGAGCUCAGUUUCCAGGACUUAGCCGAUUUUUCCCUCUGCUUGGCUGAUCAACGUUCGGGAACCGGUCUCUCAUCCAAGGGACCGGUCCCCGAGAGUAAAAAUUCUGGAAAUUUUCCAGAAUUGCAGUUUCACUCUCUCGGGUCCCUUUAUACUUCAUAUAUAGGCUCCAAUACACUUUUAGCCUAUAGUAACUCAUUCCUUUCCGUGUUCCACUCAUUUCGACGGAACUCGGCACGAUUUACGGAAAAGUGAUAUGUUACAGUAAUAGACAUAAUAGUGCAAUUGAAUGUUUAAGUGCGGUAGAGAAUCCAUGUUGGAUUGUAACGGUGCAAUGUAAUAGACAUAAUAGUGCAAUUCAUUGUAGAAAUUGGUGAUUUGUUUACGGCUAUUACACUAUUUUAUUUCCAUUCCCAAACAUCGAAAGUUGCUUUACCUUCCUGAGGCGUAAUUCUCUUACAAUCCGGUAAUUAUAUGAGGCCCAUGCGCUAUACGCAACAGCGCCGUUUUAUGAAAGAGCAUUAAAUGCAAGCCAUUAAAGAGCCAUUAAUGCAGCAAGCGCGGGAAACGCAGUUUUAGGGCGACGAUAUUCUAUUCGCCAGAGCCAGUGUUUGCUGUUAGUUUUUUGAUUUUUUUAUUUAUAUGAUUUGGAAGUGCAGCAGUACUUGUCUCAAGGACUGAAGGGAAUAUAAAAUCUAAUGAUGUCACUGUCGAUAUAUCUUGUUGAGGUACAGUUGAAUAUGGCACAGUUACCGAAAUAACAUAUAGAAAUUGAAUUUGAAAUAUCAUUGCAAUAGAUAGCAUAAUAGUGUAACAGAAGUCAAAAUUAGUGCAAUACAACCGCAUAUGCAUGGUCGACUUGUCCAAAUGGUGCAAGGCUUGCGUCGUUUGGAAAAAAUUCUGGCGGAUUAGAAAUAAAUUUUGGCGGGAACAGAAGUAUUAUUUUCCGCCCCAUGCACAACUUAACAACUCAUGCACGUAAACUGGAUUAUAUUAUAUAUUGAUGAAAGAGUGUUUUUGAAUAACUUUUAGCUAAUUUUCUGUAUCCAACUCUUACAAGUGAUGGAUAACGCUGAAAUUCCAGUGCACUACAAUUUUAAUGAACGUUUUAAGGAGGAAGGAGGCAUUGUCAAUUAUGUAGGAGGGUCCAGCCGGCUCAAUUUCAUCAGGCAAGGCGAUAAUUUUAAUUCCCUGCAAGCAAUGUUCUGCAAGUACAUGAAUACUUCACAGGAAUCCUGCAAGAUCGAAAUUAAACUUAGCUAUAGUGGGAAUCUCAGCAAACUCAUUGACAUUGUUGACGACGGCGAUCUCGGAAACAUACGGAGACUCUAUAAAACCAACGCGUAUCUGAUGGAGCUUUAUGCUGUGAGUAACUUAGUCGAGAGAAAGGUUGCUACUUGUGAUCCCGAUGAUAUAAACGAAUUGCUUACAGACGAACAGCUGGAGCUGUUGAUUAACAGCCGUUCUGGGGAUGCAUUUACUCCUUAGCAGACACAUUUUGAAAAAGUUGGCUCGUAAGUUACACUAUUAUUUUUUUUGCACCAUUACCGAGCCUUAUUGCACUUGUAACCUCUUUAUUUUCAGCGGUUGCACUACUCUCAAUGCACUUUUGCACCAUUAUAUUUUACCUCAUUCAAUUGUAAGCAAUAUAUAUUAUACGAUUGCACUAUUACAUAAUUUUUUCAUUAUAUAUUAUUUUUAUGUUGCACCGGUUCGUAAUAUCUUGCAUCAUUACUUCGACCUCUUGCACCGUAUGAACUUUACACAUAAGGGUUCUUGUACUAUUUAAUAUUUACAAUGCACUCCUUGCAUGCUUUCACUUAUGGUGCAGAUCUUCUUAUUCUAUUCUCAUUGACGAUGCGGAAGCGGCAGACAGUGACGACGGUUUUAUUAUUGCUGAUUUGAAAGACGAGUUAGAUUCCGACGAAAGAAACGGUAUCGUCUCGACUUCUCCCGACGCACCUCAUUGGACAUACAGCGCCAUGGAUAUCCUCCCGUUGCGGCAAAGCGAUGUAAUAGGACUUACUGCUGAGCAAUUUGGCCACGACGAGCUUGAAGAAGCCCUCAUUGUAAACAGCUCUACGAUGGAGUCAGUUGUUGAUGUCGCAGAUGCGGACGAUGUCCAUGAGGGCCAGCUCUACAAGAUGCAAGGCGACUUCUAACGAGCUCUCAAAGCAUACGCAAUGAAAAGAGGUUUUGAGUACGCACCGACGAAAUGCAACGACCAUAAGAUAACCGCACGAUGCCACGUCUUAUAUUGUCCUUGGAGAAUAAAGGCGCGUCAAGUACCAGGAAUUGCUCAAUAGUGCGUGAAGAAAUUUGAUUCGCAACACACUUGUAGCAGGGCAAUAGGGAGAUUGGGCCAUAGGAAUUGCGAUGCGGCUUUUAUAACAGCAUUUGUUAGGGAGCAGGUGGUGGCAAACAAGAAAUACACGCCGAAGAUGGUUCAGACCGAGAUUCUUUGGCAGCACGGCGUAAAAAUUUCAUACCGGAAAGCCUACCGGGCCAGGAAUUGGUCCUUCAAGAGGUGCGCGGCGAUUUCGAGGGCUCGUUCGCUCUACUUCCCUCGUACAUGCAAGAGUUGAGGAGUGGAGAUGCGGAAACAUGUCUCCAAUUACUUUACCAGGACGAGGGUCGUUUUCAUCAUUUUUUCUGAGCUUCGGCGCAGCAAUUCGAGCAUUUAGGAAGCACUGCAGGUCGCUGUUGGUCUGGAUGGUACGUUAUUGCACUAUUACGCCACUAUCACAUCAUUAUUUUACUAUGUUGCACUAUUAUAUAAUAAAUUCAUGAAUGUAACACAAUUAUUUGCACGAUUACACAAUUAUAUACACGGUUUUUUAUUCUUACAGGAACCUUCCUAACUGGUAAGUUUAGAGGUUGUCUGCUGACGGCGUCAUGUAUUGAUGGGAAUAACUGCAUAUUGCCAUUGGUGUGGGCAGUUGUUGAAGGUGAAAAUUGCUAUUCCUAGCAUUGAUUUCUGGAACAGUUACGGGAUGGCGUCGUUAGUGAUCGCGACUCCAGUAGAGCAAACAGUGUACUUACUAUCGUUUCCGACCGCCAAAAGGGAUUGAUUGAUGCUGUAUCCGAUGUUUUUCCGGAUGCAGCUUAUGGUUAUUGCAUUUACCAUCUGUCUACCAAUCUCCCGCACGCGCCAAAGAAUACACCUGCGUAGAGAAGAUUUUGGGCGGCGGUGCGCGCAUACAUUGUCGCGGAGUUCAACAAAUACAUGGAGAAGAUUAAGGAGUUGAACCCCGAAUAGUACAAGUAUGUGGUCAAGCUUCCUCGGCAUAGGUGGGCUACCCAUUGCUUCCUGGGAAGGCGUUAUUCAAUGCUCACUUCCAACUGUGCCGAGACGAUAAAUAGUGUAAUUCGACAUUUAAAGGGCCUUCCAAUUACCUACCUCGUCGAGGAAACACGAAAGAAAACAGCUUGUUAUUUUUACCAGAGAAAACAUAAUGGGGAGAAUAUUACCAGUGUAGUAACACCCUAUGCAGAAAAGAUUUUAGGUAUUAUCGUUUAUUUUUCCCCAUUUAAUCAGUAUAUUACACUACUUAUCAAUCGGUUACAUGUAGUCAUUACACUAUUUGUCCCACCCUUUGGACUGGCUUGUUGUUUUUCAGGUAAUUGCAGCCGACUGUACGGAUGUUGUGGAUCUUUCCAAAAAGACAUGUUCCUACAAGCGAUGGGACAUUGACGGAAUUCUAUAUAAUCACGCCAUGGCAGCAAUUUCUUUUAGGCUACGGGAUCGGUAUGAUUUUGUCGAGGAAUGGUUCAAGACCUCGACUUAUCGCGCAACCUACAACGAUUGCGUCCCCUCCACCAGAGGCAAAGAGCAAUGGCCUGCAAUACCAAGUAACGUUGUUCCACCACGGCCGCAAAACGUCUGCAUACAACCGGGCAGAAGAAAGGUUUCGCGGCGAGAGUCUAUUGCUAACGACUUAAUAAAGAAGCGGUGCCGGAAUUGCCAGAGAUGGGGGCACAACAAAAGGUCAUGCAAGAACCCUCCUGUGACUAGAGCAAACCAGCCGCGCGCGACGACAUCCGCGGGCGCACCGCAGGAAACAUCGAAAAAUCCAUACGUCUUAUUGUAAUAGUUCAAGGCUAAUGCUAAUAGUGUACAUAUAGAUAAUUUGAUUAAGUAAAUUUUUGUAAUAGUAUAAAAUAGAAGAUAAUAGUUCAACAUAUUUAAAAAAUAGUGUAACGAGGAUCUCAAAAUUUUGACUGUUAAGUGAGGUUGCACUGGAACGAGACUACGGAUGCACUGUUAUAGCGGUCAUUGCACCAUUUAUACUGCAGUAGAACCUUCCCGUUGCACUAAUAUCCCUGCGCACAGAGGCGAAUUCGACACUGCGGCGGCGACGGCUAGAGGUAGCGCAGCGGCGGAUAAAGAGGUCGUGGAGCCUCCUCCUACUCUGCCCCGCUAUUCGACGACCCCCAUGUCCUUUCAUUUGCACAAUAGCUUAAGAUUACAUUAAGAAAUAAAAUAAGUAGGUUAUGGAGAGGUUGCACUGGAACGAGUUUACGGAUGCACUGUUAGAAGGGCGGUUGCACGAUUUCUCCUGUCAUAGCUCCUUUCUGUUGCAUUAUUAUCCCAAUUGCGUGCGUGCACUUAAUGUCAUUUAGCUUCAGAAAAUAUCUUAAAGUCUUAAAGCCGAACAGCAAACAGCAGGUACGGCGAAUAGCGGGGGGGAUGUCGUCCGUUUUCCAAGUAAUGAGCGAGGUUGCGUAAAGCGGAAGUGGCGCAUUUAAUGAGCGUCAGACAGUAUGGCAUGGUCCGAGUUCCGAGUAAUGAGCGAGGGAGGAGAGGUUGCGUAAAGCGGACGCGGCGCAUUUAAUGAGCGCCAGCCCGCGCGGCUUUUGUAUACGAGGGGUGAAAUGAAAUUUAUAGUUAACGAAGUCUUUAAGUGGUGUAACUAAGAUCAAAAGAGUUCAAGAUUUUCCAGUAAAGUGUGUAACAGUACGAUAUGUAGCACAAUUUUUUCACAGAAUUGGUGAUAACAUGAACAUAAUAGUGCAAAAAUGUCCGAAAUUUAUAUUAUACUAUGAUGUAAAUAGUGCAACAUUGUUUGUUAAAUAUUGUAACCGGUAAAUAGUGUAACAAAUUCGUAAGGAGUCGAUUAACAUGUGAACAAGAAUUACAUUAUCUUUGAAGCCGAGUACACGAUUUUAUAGUACUUUGCAAAAUACAAAUAAGAUUUGCAUACAAUGUAACCUUCUAUUACAUCAACUAUAACAAACUUUUCAUAAUAAUUAAUUAAGAAAAGUAUGUAAUCAUCAAAGUUUCUCUGCAAUUCCACACGCACAUAGCCGACGCUAACAGGUAUAGGCCAGGGAAGACUGCCAAAGGAGACUGCGAUGAGGAGGAGACUGCCGAAGGAGACUGCGAGGAUGAGGAGGCUCGUUCAGAAGGGUAGAUCCAGCAACGAGGCACUAAGAUUGAUUUGCACUAUCUGGAGUGCUUUAUAUGCCUCGAGCCUUUUGGAGCUCCGCUCUACCAUGAAACAGACAAUUCAAUCAGCAAAACAUAAGAAUCCAUCAAUAACAAUAAAGAUAUGCAAGAAUUUAAGAACCUGUAUGAGAGGAGGGCCAAUGGGCUCGUGGCAAAUAAAGCACUCCAGAUAGUGCGAAUCAAUCUUAACGCCUCAUUGCUGGAUGGUACCCUUCCGAGCGAGCCGCCUAUUCCUCGAACGCUGCUUCAACUCUCUACCGUUAAUAGUGCAACGUAGGGUAAAAUAGUAGAACUAAGUUCAUAAGGGUGCAACGAUGUCAUCAUAAUAGUGCUAUGGAUUCAGCGAACAGCAAACACACGGUCUGGCGAAUAGCGUGGAUGAUAUACGCUCCCUGCGCAGGGCGCAUUUAAUGCUGCUAAAAGCACAUAGCGUAACAUGUACGUUAUAGCGUCCCUUCUGUGAGGCGAAGAGACACCGGCGGGUAUAUCGAAGCUGCCUCGGCAAAAGUAAAAGCACUAUUCAAACGUUUUUUUAUUUUUAUUUUGUUUAAAUAUGGCUUCUUCAGUUUCAUUCCGCGUAAAGGCGUUACACUGUUAUGACGAAUGUUACUCUAAUAUCGCGCCAGUAUUGCACUUUUAGAAGCUAUAUUACAUUAUGUUACUUGGCGUUCACUAUUAUUAGGGUCUAUCGUUGCACUAUUAUUAUACGAUUGAAUGAAGGAAUUGAUGUUUUUUAAGUGAUGUUACAGUAAUACGGCCCUUGAGGUGAGCAUUAGCCACUUUCUGUUCAUGAGAAAAACUAAUAUUUCAUGAGCAUUAAUAGUCGGUGACCUAAAUGGUUACGCAACCUACAAUACAAUAUAUAAAAGAGACUCUUUAUGGACUUGGGCAACCGGCAACGAGAAAACGGCGAUGAUGGAGGUACACAAGACGAGGGGAGAGAGCCGCAGGAGAGGUCGACAACAAGGAGGCUCGGUCGUAAGUGUACCAUCCAGCAAGGAGGCAUUAAGAUUGAUUCGCACUAUCUGAAGUACUGUGCUUUAUUUGCGACGAGGCACCACCUCUAUACCAGGUUCUUAAAUUCUUCCAGAUCUUUAUUCUUAUUGAUCGGUUCUAAUUUUUUUCUGACUAUACUGUCUCUUUACGAACAAUAUAGUGCCGAAACGUCAAUGCUAAAGUCCCUAGUGCAAAUAAAGCACUCGACAUACCCCUUCGAGCGAGCCUUCUCCUCUUCACCAUUUCAUCUUCCGUUAGAGGAACAGUAGCGUCUGCUCUGUGCGCGUGGAUUUGCCGGCUAGCUUUAAUGAUGAUACUAUACUUUUGUAAAAUGAAAGCCUACUUUUGUUCAAUAUUCAUGUUGAUGCGAAUGUUACAGUUGAUGUUGUGAACAUCGUAUUGUAUGCAAAACGUGUAUUAUAUGUUGCAUUUUCGUCAAAGACAAUGUAUAAUUUGCUUGUAUAUUAAUAAAAAGAUCCCUUUCUUUACAUCUUUACAUUCUUACACCAACGAUUUUUCUUGCAAUGGUUAGAGACUCAUUGCACCAUUUAGUCAAUUUAUUACACUAAUUGGUGAACUACCACACAAUUAAGUUUACAACGUUAAACGCAAUUUAUUACACCAUUUAGGAAGUAUGAUUUUUAAAGAGAUGUCUGACUAUUAUCUUCUUUAAUAAAUCAUGCGUUUUUAAACCAUUGCACUGGCUAUUAUCGGCGUUUAAACCAUUUUAAAGAGAUGUCUGACUAUUAUCGGCAUUUAAAGGUGCACUAUUAUUAUAUCCACCUCUCGAACGCACCCUUACAAGCUUAGUACGAGUCUUUUUCAAACCAUUGCACUGAUAUUACUACCGUAUUGCACUCUUACAAGUUUCGUUGCACUCAUUUUUAAAUCCGUUGCACUGUUAUUAAGACCGUAUUGCACUCUUACAAGCUUCGUUGCACUCUGUUGUAAAAUAUUGUUCUGUUAUUCACACCGCCUUGCACUUAUUAUAUA